rnacentral:lncRNA from 1 species
CUAAUCUAAGCAUCACACCGCGAAAGACUACCACCACCUUCCGCCGACCGCUGGCCACCUCCGGCCUGCCUAUGCGAGCUCCUCCCGACAGCGACAACCCCCUCACCUGGAAGCGGGAACACUGUCGUCGUCGUCGGAGGAGGAGAUGGAGUUCCUGUGCGAUUGUGGCGCCACCGCCGUCGUCGCGGACGUGGCAGCCACGCUCGCGAGCACCGCCGGUAUCCAGGCGUCCUCUCCCUCUCAUGUCGCCUCCGAGGUGAGAAAAACCACAAAGGGUCCCGCCGAUGGUGGAAGAGCGGAUCGAAUCGAGCUUAUGCGCUGCUGUUAUGGUUGCGCUUGCAGAGAGGUACCGGAGCGGCGAGCUGAAGAGGGCUCUUUCCGAGGCUGAAGCCUACGCCUUCAAGGUAUAAAAUCCUUGUCGAUUCGGUUCAAUAGUUGCUCAACUCGGAUGCCUGAAUUUGUUCCAGUUUUGUCGAUUUCUUUCUUGGGACAGAAUUUAGAGUGUGAUGUUCUGUAGCUAUGAUUUGUCCAUCGAUGUUGAUCUAGUACAAUUGAUUGAAUACAUCUCCCGCCUCGCCUCCUCUGACACAUACGAUUCUCGGCAUCUCACUCAUGUUCUCAUGGUGCUGCGGGCCAAUAUAGGUGGAGUUGCGCAUGGGGUGAGCAGACCGGCCUUGCUCCUGAAUUUCUGUCCGUGUUUGGGCUGGCCGGCGAAGAUGGCAAAUUCCGGCGCUUUGGGUGCCUCAGCUUCGGUUCCUUUGCUGUUCUGGUGGCCGUGCGUUUCCUUGGCUUCGUCUGCAUGUGUUGAGCUUUCCUGAAUCCCUGUCGAGUUAUUGUUUUUUCUAGAAUACUCAGUUCCUGGGUGGACGCUUAGUAAGCAGAUAAGUGGACUUGGGCACUUGACUCGUUUCUUAAUAGGAAAUUCUUAUAUUCAGA